GACGAACGCUGGCGGCGUGCCUAAUACAUGCAAGUAGAACGCUGAAGAGAGGAGCUUGCUCUUCUUGGAUGAGUUGCGAACGGGUGAGUAACGCGUAGGUAACCUGCCUUGUAGCGGGGGAUAACUAUUGGAAACGAUAGCUAAUACCGCAUAACAAUGGAUGACACAUGUCAUUUAUUUGAAAGGGGCAAUUGCUCCACUACAAGAUGGACCUGCGUUGUAUUAGCUAGUAGGUGAGGUAAUGGCUCACCUAGGCGACGAUACAUAGCCGACCUGAGAGGGUGAUCGGCCACACUGGGACUGAGACACGGCCCAGACUCCUACGGGAGGCAGCAGUAGGGAAUCUUCGGCAAUGGGGGCAAACCUGACCGAGCAACGCCGCGUGAGUGAAGAAGGUUUUCGGAUCGUAAAGCUCUGUUGUAAGUCAAGAACGGGUGUGAGAGUGGAAAGUUCACACUGUGACGGUAGCUUAACAGAAAGGGACGGCUAACUACGUG
rnacentral:rRNA from 1 species